CUUAUCAGCUCAAAACAGUCCUUAUCCUCCCAACAAGAUAUUCUCUUAUUCAUUCUUGAAGCUUCCAAUGCCAUUCUCUCAUUCUCCCAUGGAAAGCUAAUUUUCUUUCAUUUUCUUUCCUUGUUUUCUUUUCAUUCCUUUUCUCUUCUUGCUUCAUUCUUCUCCCAACUUCUUGUGCACCAAAGCUACAACUUCUAACCUCAAUUUUCAGCACAUCUAAACCCUAGGAGGAGAAGAAAAAAAAAGAGGGAAAGGAAGAAAAAGCUUGGUUUUGGUGAUUCAAGCAAGGAACGUGCAAGGAUAAGGUUAGAGAUGUGGUGGCGUGCCGGAGUAAAUAACGAGCAAUCGGCCAGUGAAAAUAGUUAGAGACACCUCCGAACAAAUAGCGACUUAAUAUCUCAUUAUUGCCAGAUCAAGGUGAAAAUCAUAUUAAAAGUAGUUGAACUGCUAUAGUUUUUUCACAAGGUAGCAUGAGGAAGUGAAAGCCAUGACCUUGGAAAGAGGAGGCUUCGGCGCCCUUGAUACAGCAUGGAACCAUAGUGGACUAGAGAGCAUGGUGCCACGAUGCUGGUGAGGCAAGGUCAUGGCAUCCUAGCAGAUUGAAGCUCCCAUACAUGAACCCAAGAGUAAGGCGCCACGACGCCUAAAAGGGAAGGCCACAGUGCUCAGAAGUGUUUUGAAGCAUAUGUUUUUAUGGGAAUUUCGAACCUAGGGUUUUUGAGGAGUAUUUAAAAGGCCUUUUUCAGAGGUUUCAAAGAGGAGAUAGAGAGCAACUAUUCUGGAGAAAAAGAAGCCAAAAACAAAGCAAGAAAGCAAAAGAAUUCAAAAAAGAAAUUAGAUUCAAAAGCUUU
rnacentral:sRNA from 10 species